UACGUAGGUCCCGAGCGUUGUCCGGAUUUAUUGGGCGUAAAGCGAGCGCAGGUGGUUUAUUAAGUCUGGUGUAAAAGGCAGUGGCUCAACCAUUGUAUGCAUUGGAAACUGGUAGACUUGAGUGCAGGAGAGGAGAGUGGAAUUCCAUGUGUAGCGGUGAGAUGCGUAGAUAUAUGGAGGAACACCGGUGGCGAAAGCGGCUCUCUGGCCUGUAACUGACACUGAGGCUCGAAAGCGUGGGGAGCAAACAGU
rnacentral:rRNA from 1 species